GGAGGACCAUCAGAAAUACCACUGAAGAAGGAGGGAAGUGGGAGAAAAGGAGGAAGAGAGUGAAGGACUCGGAGAAAGAAAUGCCGCCCGUCGUGGCGUGACUGAAGAAAAAACAAGGACAGCAGGCGGGGACAUCACAGGUGAAGCUUACAGAAACAGACAGGAGGUCUGUGCUGCCCAGAUGUGUGGUUACAUUUCUGGGGAGGUGCACGUCAGGCUACGGCGUAGGCUGUAAGUCGAUGCAGAGCCUACACUUUAGGUACGGAGUCGAUUUGACGCAGAAGUAUAAAUCCCGCUCUACACUUGAAUAAAAAUCCAGUAAAAGAAGAAAUUUUAGGACACUCUCAAAAAAAUACAACAGUGACCAGCAGACAUGUUACCAGACAUUCUCCAGCACCACUGACCAUGUUCAGAUUUUCUUCAUCCCUUCAUGAACCUCAGAGUGACGUCAUAAACUGCACAUCCACGGUGCUCUCAGUCUGUGGUUUGUGUGUGUUUUUAGGACUUCCUGCUGCCCAGUUGAGCCCUCUGAUUUCUAGAGACUCUAUUUUUAGACUUGGUGACCUUUGACCCCCUGUUGCUUUAUUUAGGCCAGUUAACAGUCUGGGAAACAAAAAGGGAUUUCCCCAACAUGCUGCAUUUAUUUUUGUGAUCCUGUGUGUGUGUGUGUGUUUGUGUGUGUGUGCUCUGUGCAUAAAAUGAGACUUUUCACUUCUCUGAAAUCUGAGCUUCUCAUGAGAUACUCCCUGAAAUGUAACGUCAGUGUCUGGAUAAUGUCAGCUACACCGCAUCCUCAGAGCUUUUUAAUUAAAAGGGGAUUUCAGCAAAAAACAAAAACUUUUAUCAGCGUCAAACCUUCUAAUUUGUCUGUAAACUGGCAGCUGAAGCCUGAAGUCAAUCUGGGAGCCAAAAAUAAGUGAUACAAAUUGGUUUUUCUUCUUGAAUGAUCCGUUCAGUAACUGAGAAGUUCAAUCCUCAGUCAAUCACUGACUGCUGCUGCAAACUUAUAUGACGACCACAGAUCAGACAACCAGACUUCCGUGGAGUGCUUGAAAACUUCCUUUCCCCAAAAAAGUUCUCUCCAAGAAGACACCGUUUGAUAACCAUCUUUCCUUUCAAGAACGUCGGACAAAGGUCUGCAUGUGAACAGCAGCUCGAAAAUUAUAAAAGCACAAAAAUUAUAAAAGCAGGAACAGUAUGAAAAAUCAAUGUUAUGAAUUAUAGUAAAACAUAAAUAACAAAGAUCUGACAAAACAUGAAAUGUACUUCAUAAUCUCUUCUAGAAAAGUCUCAGUUUUUGUUUUACGGUUACAUUUAAAAAUGUUCCACAUCAAUUAAAAAAAUACCCAAAGUUUAUCUUAAAUCAUGAAGGCGACGUUUCCUGAACAGAGAAAGUUUUACGUAGUUGACAAAAGUUUUGUUGUCAGAACAAUCAGGUAAAAAAAAAAAACAUAUUUUUUGUACAACAACUUAGUAAUAAGUGCAAAAGGAGAAAAUAUCUGAAAGAAAGUCUCCCAAUUUUAUAUGUUUUAUUAACCGAAUUAUCUUAAAAAUAUGAUUUAUGAUGCAGACAGGCACAUUUAUUACUGUACAUUAUGUUCAUAUUAUCAGAUCAGAUCUGAGUUUGGAGUUCAGGACUUUUUGGAGCGAUGUCGCCUCCUAGAGGCUCCUGAUGAGACCUGCAGCCCUCACUGUCUUGUCCUGAAAUGUGAAUGUAUUGAAAACAGCUGCCUGUUUCUGUCCAAAGGCAACAUAUCCACCUACAAGCACCCCAAGAGCCCCUUUAUCCUCAUCUCUAGGAAAGAAGGCAAAUGAGAAUAUUCUCCAAAUUUCAAACUUUUCUUUUAAAGCAGAAAACAACUGAUGGUAGACACAGUAGAUCUGUGGCAAGAGGGGAUUGUGCAACACCUGAGGGAAGGUCUGCCUUUGGACACUCGGCUUUUUCAGUGAGAGCAGUGCACACAUGGAUCAGUCUAUGAACACUUGUCAGAGACUGUUACACGUUCAUUUAAAAAUAACCUAAAAUCAUGGCUGUAAGACAAUCAAGAGUGUGACUAUAACUCAUUUAAAUUUUAAAUGCGCUUUGUUUUUUAAGGUAGUUGUCAUGACACCUGCCCAGGAACUACAGCUGAAAAUUAUCCAAGCUGGCUUAACUGGAAGAUUUUCAGAAAUGUUUAUUACUAUGCACUGUCCCUGUAAUCUGUAAAUAAAUAAAUAAACAAAUACAAUUAAGUGGUGAAAUCUUCAGUAAGAAAUGAAACAGGAAGUAAGGAAAUAUGGUUUGUCAGGUCAAGAUUCUUACUUUCAUAGUAAGACUUGUUUAAUAUUAUAAAUACAAAACAAUGUGCAACAAUCAGACAUCAUAAGUUUGAUAAAAACAAUAAAUGAAAUAGAAUAAAUAAAUUAACAAAAAACAAUAAAACAUUAUUAAAUUGUUUUGAAUAGUAUCAUAUAAAUAAUAAUAAUAAUAAUAAUAAUAAUAAUAAUAAUAAUAAUAAUAUAAAACUUUAUGCAAAUCACC